rnacentral:lncRNA from 1 species
CGUAGUAGUGUUUCCUUUUGAAAUCGCAGGGUGUAUUGAUCUGUAGCACAGUUGGAUGCAUUUGGGCUUGAGUUGUACCCUUUUUUUUUUGGAGAGCCUAAAGCUCAUGUUGUUGGAACCUUGAAACACAGCUUUGUUACAUACUUUCUGUCAUAACUUUUGAUUUAGAAUGCUUGAGAUAUUAAGUUUUAGCCUGUUUUGUACGCUUUGCUUAGUUGGAAAUAAUGAAAUGCAUGAAUUGUUGAGGUAUGGAAUGCAUUGAGAUAAUGAUUUCCAGCUUAUUUUGUACACUUCACUUGGUUGGAAAUAAUGAAAUGCAUGAGUUACUUGAGAUUUUAACUGGUUGGGUUGUGGUAGGUGCAAGAUACAUGCUGCCAAUUUUUACAGGAUCACAAAAGUGUUUGCCCUAUUGCCUCUUUGUUUUUUUUUUUCUUCCUCC